rnacentral:rRNA from 1 species
UACGGAGGGGGCUAGCGUUGUUCGGAAUUACUGGGCGUAAAGCGCACGUAGGCGGAUCGUUAAGUCGGGGGUGAAAUCCUGGAGCUCAACUCCAGAACUGCCUUCGAUACUGGCGAUCUUGAGUCCGGAAGAGGUGAGUGGAACUCCUAGUGUAGAGGUGGAAUUCGUAGAUAUUAGGAAGAACACCAGUGGCGAAGGCAGCCCCCUGGGCUAACACUGACGCUCAGGCACGAAAGCGUGGGGAGCAAACAGG